AACGAACGCUGGCGGCAUGCCUAACACAUGCAAGUCGAACGAGACCUUCGGGUCUAGUGGCGCACGGGUGCGUAACGCGUGGGAACCUGCCCUUAGGUUCGGAAUAACUCCCCGAAAGGGGUGCUAAAACCGGAUAAUUUCUUGGGACCAAAGAUUUCUCGCUUUUGGAUGGGCCCGCGUUGGAUUAGCUAGUUGGUAGGGUAAAAGCCUACCAAGGCGACGAUCCAUAGCUGGUCUGAGAGGAUGAUCAGCCACACUGGGACUGAGACACGGCCCAGACUCCUACGGGAGGCAGCAGUGGGGAAUAUUGGACAAUGGGCGAGAGCCUGAUCCAGCGAGGCCGCGUGAGUGAUGAAGGGCUUAGGGUUGUAAAGCUCUUUUACCCGGGAUGAUAAUGACAGUACCGGGAGAAUAAGCUCCGGCUAACUCCGUG
rnacentral:rRNA from 1 species